AGUGAACGCUGGCGGUAGGCCUAACACAUGCAAGUCGAACGGCAGCACCGUAAGAGCUUGCUCUUACGGGUGGCGAGUGGCGGACGGGUGAGGAAUACAUCGGAAUCUACUUUUUCGUGGGGGAUAACGUAGGGAAACUUACGCUAAUACCGCAUACGACCUACGGGUGAAAGCAGGGGAUCUUCGGACCUUGCGCGAUUGAAUGAGCCGAUGUCGGAUUAGCUAGUUGGCGGGGUAAAGGCCCACCAAGGCGACGAUCCGUAGCUGGUCUGAGAGGAUGAUCAGCCACACUGGAACUGAAACACGGUCCAGACUCCUACGGGAGGCAGCAGUGGGAAAUAUUGGACAAUGGGCGCAAGCCUGAUCCAGCCAUACCGCGUGGGUGAAGAAGGCCUUCGGGUUGUAAAGCCCUUUUGUUGGGAAAGAAAAGCAGCAGGUUAAUACCCCGCUGUUCUGACGGUACCCAAAGAAUAAGCACCGGCUAACUUCGUG
rnacentral:rRNA from 1 species